GACCGCGUAGCUCAGUUGGAAGAGCAUUGGGCUAGUAUUCCAAAGGUCGUAGGUUCGAAUCCCACCAUGGCCG
rnacentral:tRNA from 1 species